UAGGGAAUCUUCGGCAAUGGGGGGAACCCUGACCGAGCAACGCCGCGUGAGUGAAGAAGGUUUUCGGAUCGUAAAGCUCUGUUGUUAAGGAAGAACGAGUGUGAGAAUGGAAAGUUCAUACUGUGACGGUACUUAACCAGAAAGGGACGGCUAACUACGUGCCAGCAGCCGCGGUAAUACUUAGGUCCCGAGCGUUGUCCGGAUUUAUUGGGCGUAAAGCGAGCGCAGGCGGUUAGAUAAGUCUGAAGUUAAAGGCAGUGGCUCAACCAUUGUAGGCUUUGGAAACUGUUUAACUUGAGUGCAGAAGGGGAGGGUGGAAUUCCAUGUGUAGCGGUGAAAUGCGUAGAUAUAUGGAGGAACGCCGGUGGCGAAAGCGGCUCUCUGGAAUGUAACUGACGCUGAGGCUCGAAAGCGUGGGGAGCGAACAGA
rnacentral:rRNA from 1 species